AGAGAUGAUUCUAACUUCUAAACCCAUCCACAGAGGAAUGAUUAGCUCUAUGAAUUAUGGCAUCCAAUGAGGUUGAUAAUGAUGAAGGAGAAGAAAAAACAGGCUUUUAAUUUUCUCGAACACCACUAAACUAUUCUUCUUCUUCUAGGUAUUGGACAUUUUAUCUAAAAUUAAAGGUAUUGACCCCCUUAACAUUUAAUUAUAUUACCUAUACAAUUCUGUUACUAAUUGUUUAAAAUAGGGGAAAAAAUUGAUUACGGUUGUCACAUGUUCAUUAAAUACAUUUAUAUCCAAAAUACUUUUUUUGAGAAAUAAGUCAAUACUCUAUAUACAUUCUUAUACAGUCAUUGUGAGAACAAAUUUAACACUUAUUAAUAAGUUUUUAUAUGGAGCUUUUCUUAUUUUUGCAAAAAUAAAAUAUGUGGACAGUAAGGCAUAUGAUUGAAGUAUUAGAUAAAUGUGAUCGAUUAUCGGCUAUUUUACAGAGGCUAGUAAUGAAAGGGAUGUAAAUAAUAUAUUAAAUAGUUAAGGGAAUCAAUAUAAUUUAUUUUUUAAAUGAAAAGGUAAAAGUGAAAAAUACGAUAGUUUUGAGGAUGUUCUGGAAUUUUUUGUCUCGUUUUCCUUUUGCCUCAUUCCUCUUAGUUUUUCAGUUCCAUUCUACCGUUCCUUUAAACCCACAGAUUCUGUGUCUUUCGUUAUCACUCCCUCUUUCUUUUCACCCUUCGUUGUAAAUGACACUAAUUAUUAUUUUUACAUAUUUUAGCCUUUAGUUAUUAUGUAGCAUCUCAUAUUUCUAUGUUCCAUUUAUUACAAGAAAUCAAUAUAUUAUUUUUUAAAUGAAAAGGUAAAGUGUAAAAUACCUAAUAUUGGGGAUGUUUGAGAUUUUUUUGUGUAUGAAUAAUUAUUAUUUUAUGUAUUUUUUCAGCUUUUUAGUUAUGAAUAGCAUCUCAUUCUAUUACAUUUCUUACCAAAUAAAAAGGUACAGACAUAUCCCAUUCAACCACUCCGGUGGCCUAGCCAAGUCUCUCUAACCGGCCUUCACUUUGGCUAUUGCCAAAACCUGCCUCGAAUACUACUGCCUCCGAUAUUCGGAGCGAGUUUUGGGUCGACAUGUGGUAAAAUUCUAGUUCUUUUUGUUUAAACAGAAAGUUUGAAUCACAAUAGAAGAAGAAGAACCAAAAUUUAACCAAUGAACUUAAGGAUGCAGAAUUUGAUUUGGCUGAGGCUGAAUUAAAUUCAUGUGUGUCCUUAAGUCGUUUCAACCCGCACCACUUGGUACUUACGGAAUAUGUUGUACGCUCCCAGGAUACAAACAGCAACAAUCUUCUGAUGUGUACUCCAAAUCAGAAGAUCAAGUCGAACCUUCAAGUGUCUUCUCCUCUCACAAUGAAACUAGAGAGGCUGGAUGCUCUAGCACUCUCUAUGCUGCCUCUAUGGAAUUUCGAGAUGAAUGAAGAUUGCCUGGGAGGUGGAGGUAUUAUAGAAGCCAACCCACCUUUCUAAAGGAGUACAAUCUCUUGGAAAGGCACCCAUUCGGCGCACAGCUGUGCACAGGGACCUUUCUGCACAAAUGAAGGUUGCACCGAUUCGCGGAUCAAAGGAAAAUUUGGAAGAAAUUCGUAAUAACCGCUUUGUUAAAUCCGAAACGGUGUGGACCGUUUCGGCCAAAAAGGAAAUCUUAAUUCCGGGGAAAAACUGUAAUUUCUUAAUUUAGAAAUUUAAAAUAAUUGAAUAAAUUUUCUCAAAAAAUUAUAUCAAUUAAGCCCCAAAGCCCCAGCCCGGCGGGCGGCUGCGGCGCAGCCUCCACAUGGGUCACCCGAAUCCAUAAAGUCCAUAGGGCACUAAAUGGAUCAGGCCACUUUAUACUAACUCCUCCCCUUAAAAUUGUGGUGCCCAAGGGCCCAAUUUAAAGAGUCAUACUGGCUUAUAUUUCCACUAACGGCAGGUCGUUUUCCAAUGUGGGACAAACCUUUCUAUCCCCAUUUGCCCGUUGGCAUUGAAAGCUAGCUUGGAAACAUUUCUCAUUCAAAUGACUUAGUUUUUGACAAAUGAAUACACAAAUCAUCUACGCAUUUAGGAGAAAACAGGAAUCUAUCAUUGUUCAUGUUAAUGGUUGUGUACGGAACUUACUAAAAUUUUAUUCCAAAGUGUGUUCACCACACUCUCAAAAACCAAACUUCUAACAGACAAUAGUUUCUCCAUCUAAUCUAAUAGUCAGGUUAGAUUGUCCUAACUUCCCUACAAUAUUUCAUCACCCAUACUACUGUACUAUACGCAGUAUCUGACAUUUUUCUAUAUAUGGAAAAGGAACCUGCAAACAAAGUUACACACAUCAUGCCAACGCAACUGCAUUAAAAUUCCCAAAAAGUUUUUUUUUUGUUCUUAGCAAUUAGUGGGCGAACCAGAAUUUUAAUCAGGAGGCCAAAGUGUAAAAAAAAAAAAUAAGUUUUAAAGAGGGCUAAAGUGUAAAAAAAAAUCUAAAAUAAAUUUUAUAAUUUCUUGAAAGUCAGGGAGGGCCGCAGCCUCUGCUGGCCACCCCCUCGGUCCACCCUUGCUAGCAAUAGCUAUAAUUGGUCUGGGAAUAGCAAUGGCCAACAAGCAAAGACAAUAAUGGUACAAGCAUACCUAAGAACCCACUUAUAGAAUAGACAUAAAUUGGACUUGGUAAGAACAUAUCGAGUGCAAAACAGCACAUAACAACAUAUUAAGACAAGUUCAGAUAUAGAAUAAAGUUAAAUAUGACACCAUAGUUUACAUGUAAGUGAUGUGUUGUUGUGUCUUGCACUCAGCUUGUUAAGCUAGUUCUUCUCUUCCACAAUGCAAUACUACAUGUGUGAUAGCCCCACCAUUUGAUAUGGGCCUAUCGAUUAUAAAAAAUUUUCUUACUAUCACUGUAUCGACAAUGGCAGGUGUUUAUUAGAUGGGGUAUUGAUUUUUUCCUUUUCACAGAGUAUAGAUUGGACCAGUUUCUUUAAAAAAUAUUACGAACUAAAUCGAUAGAAACGAUUAUACCCACAAUUGAGACAAAACGAAACCAACAAUACUUUACAAUUCGGUUCGGAGCCGAUGCAAUAAUGUAGACUGUUCUUCUUCUUCUGUAUUUUUGACAUCCCUAACAUAUCCACUAACUUCUAAAUUCUAGGGAGUUCACCUUUAAUAAUUAUUGUGCCACUUGUUUCAAUCAUACAACCGUGUCUCGUGUCAGAUCAGCCUGACAUCAUUACUUAUGUUUGUGCCGUACCUUUUAAUUGUGUCAUUCAGGUGUGCCGGAAACCGCUACGUAAAAGUGUCGUGUUGUGUUAGUUUUUUAAAUCGUGUCAUGUUGUACCGGCCCAAUUUUUUUUUUUUUGAAUAUCAAUACUUAAUUUUUUUUUAUACUUUAUUGUUAAUAUUUUUUAUUAUUUGUACGUAAAAUAAAAAAUCUAUUAAAAAUCUAAAAUAUAAACUCGUAAAUCUAUAAAUAAACAUUAACACAUGAUGAACGUGCACGGUACCUCGGUCUAUAAAUUCCAUACGAAAACUCGAAACAACAUAGGCCCAAUAAAUUCAAGGAUAGUGUUAUGGAUAUUCCUACUGCAGCAUCCAUGUGGACCCUAGAAGAGAAGACACCAAGGGGAGUGACCCCUCCUACACACUUGGGGUGGACUCCACACACUUGGGGUGGGUUCUCACACACUCUCUUUAUAUCUCUCAUAGAAAUACAUUGGGGUGCACUUUGAGGUGUACCUACAACAGUAUUUUUUCCUAAAUUCAUCAACAUGUAGGUAACCACAUACAUGCGGCCGUCCCAAUUCACAUCAUUAAUGGCCAGCUAACUAUGAUGCAAAACCCCACUUACCCCGUCGGUCCUCCACUAUUUGAUUGCUCUUGACAGUCUUCACUAUUUGAUCUCUUGACAGGUCUUUUUAAGAUCUCUCUUUGGCUUUAAAGGUUGGAGUUGCUUGUUUGCUUUUGAGGGUUUUGAUUGAUGCUCUGUUUUCUAAUGUUUAAAAUUAAGAUUUUUUUAAGUGGAUAUAAAAAAGAAAGAGUAAUAAUUUUGUCUUUUUAUGAUUUUAUUUUGUUAAAAUUAAAUCAAAAAACAAACGUCAAAGAAUCAAAAAAUUAACUCUGAAUAUUGGUGCUUUCUCGGGUUUUUCUGUUGAGGUAGCACAAAAUUGAAAUAAAAUUGGGUGUCAACCGCAGUCGCCAUUUGUUUUGAUUAGAGUGGUCGAUUGAGAGAAAGAGUGGUGUUAAGAUGAUGGGUUCGAACCCGUGGUAUUAUCAGGGGUCCUUACGUGGCGCGCCCACAUCCACCCAUUUGGGAGUGAACUCCACUUAAAAAACAAUUAUCCUAUUCACUCUCAAAUGGAUGGAUGUAAGUGCACCACGGCGACGGAUUCGAGCCUAUCUUAACACCACUCUGGAGAGAACAGCCACCGCUACAGUGAUCAUUCAAGAAAAGAGUCUAUCUUUAACACCAAGAGAAUAGCCACUGCUGACAGUGAUCAUUCAAUCUUUUCUUGCUGCCACAGUGAGACAGCAUUAACUGAAUAGCCAUUACGGCCCAGCCGGGCAGUUUUCAAAUGGUUCUUAUCACACGCAGUCCACUCACUUCGAUCGUGCAAUUAUUAAAAAAGUGUUUUUCACACCCCGGUGUGGAUGUGACGUGUUUGGACAAAUAUACCCUUCUCUCACCCAUUAAUAUAAAAAAAAUUCAAUAUCAUAUCUUGUUUAUUUAUUAAAAAAAAUUAAUCAAAAUUUUGUGUUUUAAAUACAUAAUAAUUUAUUUAUUAAAUUUUUUUCAUACCCAUCUUCUUCUUUGAAUUUUUUGUGGUAAUUUUUUUUUUAAUACUCCCUUGAGUCUAUUUUUUUUUUAAUUUCACUUCUGAAUUUUCUAGCAACAAAUAUUAUGAAAAAUUGUAUAAUAUCUUAUACUUACUACUCGACGAAGCUUAUAUUUUUUAAUAAAAAAAAAUCGAAAUCAAAAUGUAAAUAUUUUUUUAAAAAUUUCUCUCAAUUAUAAUUUUUAUUGUUUAUAAUUGAGAUCAAUUUAAAAAAAUAUUAUAAUUUUGAUCCUAUUUUUUUCUUUUAUAAAAUAAUAAAAGAUUAGAAAUAUAAUAAUAAAAAAAUAUUUAUUAAAAACAAUAAAAAAUAAAAAAAUUUAAUAAAAGGAAACAAAACUAUUAAAAAAAAGAGGGGAGAAUACACCUAACCUCCUAGGUUUACUUUAUACACAAAGUACCCCUAACGUUUGAAAAUUACAGUGACUCCCCAAAGUUUGAAAUUAUCCUGACAUCCCAACCCCCCCUGACACCACUUUUCCUCCCUUGUCUCUUAUAAAUGAACCAAAUGCCCCCCUCUCUCAUCCAUCUCUCCGACUCCGCGCCCUAUCUCUCUCUCCUCACUCUCUUUUGCACCAUUUUCUUUUAUUUGAUUUUUAUUUUUUAUUCUACUUUUUUUUGUAAAAUUACCCUUUCCUUC
rnacentral:lncRNA from 1 species